GAUGAACGCUGGCGGCGUGCCUAAUACAUGCAAGUCGAGCGAAUGGAUUAAGAGCUUGCUCUUAUAAAGUUAGCGGCGGACGGGUGAGUAACACGUGGGUAACCUGCCCAUAAGACUGGGAUAACUCCGGGAAACCGGGGCUAAUACCGGAUAACAUUUUGAACCGCAUGGUUCGAAAUUGAAAGGCGGCUUCGGCUGUCACUUAUGGAUGGACCCGCGUCGCAUUAGCUAGUUGGUGAGGUAACGGCUCACCAAGGCAACGAUGCGUAGCCGACCUGAGAGGGUGAUCGGCCACACUGGGACUGAGACACGGCCCAGACUCCUACGGGAGGCAGCAGUAGGGAAUCUUCCGCAAUGGACGAAAGUCUGACGGAGCAACGCCGCGUGAGUGACGAAGGCUUUCGGGUCGUAAAACUCUGUUGUUAGGGAAGAACAAGUGCUAGUUGACUAAGCUGGCACCUUGACGGUACCUAACCAGAAAGCCACGGCUAACUACGUGCCAGCAGCCGCCGUAA
rnacentral:rRNA from 1 species